rnacentral:lncRNA from 1 species
CCUUCGCUCCCAGUGUGUUCACUUGAAACUUCUCCCAAGUUCUGCCAGGAGUGAGGGCGGGAGGAGUGGAAUCCUCCUGGGGCCGAGGCUGCCGCUCAGCUCGCCAUGCAGCCUGACAAAUCAAGUGACUAAAAUCCAUUAAUUAGCAGUUUUGGAAACAGUUGCAAAGUUAAUUAUUCCGUUUUCUGAUGAAAGAAAGCUAAUUUUUGGCAUUUACCCUGACAGUGACAUGAACUAACAUUUUUCGAGUUGACAUCCCUCAAGAUAAAUGAUGCCAGGAGGCGUCUGUGCAAACAUCCUGACCCGCAGCUUGUUGUGAGUCUUGCUUGUUCCCGGUGCCUUCGCCACACUGCUUGGCCUGCUCCCAAGAAUGAAUGGCUAAUCUGUUCUACUUGCUCCUGUACCCAGGCAACUCACUCAACACCAGGCUCACAGAGGGUCUUCGGAGAUUGUUGCUCCAAGGGUGAGCAAGUGCAUGAGGUCUGGCUCUACAGUCUUGCUUUCAAAAGAUUUCCCCGAAGGAAAAGUUAGAAGAAGGAAAAUGUGAAGGAAAAUGCUCACCACUGCACUAGUAUGGAUAAUUGUGAAAAAAAAUGGAAAUAAUCUAAGUGCCUAAGUCUUAAGGGUUGAUAGUAAAACAGAAUGUCCGUGUGGCAGAAGCCAUGCAAUCACUGAAUUUGUGUGGAUUAAUAAUUGCUGCCAUGACCCACAGAUAAGCACUGAAUCAUACUCCUGGAAUCCAGUUGUGGAGAGGGAGGAGGGAUGAGCAAAGGAGCCAAGACUGUGCUGCAGAAACCCACAGAAACAGUGGACCUGACCUAGUGAGAGCAUGGAGACCCUAGUCAUAAAGCUGGGGAAACAGCAUUGGACCGAACCAAGCCCUCUGAAUGUGGGUGCCAGCUAGGAGGCCAAGACAGUGUAUGGGACCUCUAACAGUGGAGGCAGUCUUUAACCCUAGAGCACAAAUGGACUUUGGGAGCCCAUUCCCUGUGGAGGGAUACUAUUGCAGCUCAGAUACAGCAAGGAGGGCCUAGGCCCUCCCCCAAAUGAUAUGACAGACUCUGAAGGUCCCUGGUGGAGAGCCUUACUAUCCCUGGGGACAGGUUGGGGGAUGGGUUGGGGGAGGUUGGUGGGGAACAUGGGAGGAUGGGAGGGCAAAGAAAUAGGGAGGAAUAGAUAUGUAAAUAUGAGUAGUAAUUAAAGAAUUUAAAUAAAAAUGGAAAAAUAAAUAAAUAAAAUAAUUGC